rnacentral:misc_RNA from 1 species
GACAUAUGUACUUCAACAGGUUAUGAUUGCGAUUUUCUAGAUGUAGACUACUUACAACUUGCCAAAAAUUCGAUAUCAAAUAUUAAGUUCAAUAGGCAGCACCAAUUCUAAUUCUAACCAAAAAGCAUUAUUUGUAGCCCUCCUCAUUUUUCAAAACUACUUUCGGCAUCAAUCUUGAUCUUGUUAUUCUUUUCACAAAAAAAGAGAUACUUUUGUAUCUGACAGCAACAGGAACUAAGAAAGCAUACGGUUGCUGCAGCUAA